GACGAACGCUGGCGGCGUGCUUAACACAUGCAAGUCGAACGGAAAGGCCCUGCUUUUGUGGGGUGCUCGAGUGGCGAACGGGUGAGUAACACGUGAGUAACCUGCCCUUGACUUUGGGAUAACUUCAGGAAACUGGGGCUAAUACCGGAUAGGAGCUCCUGCUGCAUGGUGGGGGUUGGAAAGUUUCGGCGGUUGGGGAUGGACUCGCGGCUUAUCAGCUUGUUGGUGGGGUAGUGGCUUACCAAGGCUUUGACGGGUAGCCGGCCUGAGAUGGUGACCGGCCACAUUGGGACUGAGAUACGGACCAGACUCCUACGGGAGGCAGCAGUGGGGAAUAUUGCACAAUGGGCGGAAGCCUGAUGCAGCAACGCCGCGUGCGGGAUGACGGCCUUCGGGUUGUAAACCGCUUUCGCCUGUGACGAAGCGUGAGUGACGGUAAUGGGUAAAGAAGCACCGGCUAACUACGUG
rnacentral:rRNA from 1 species